UUUUAAUUAGAAAAGACUGCCCCGUUGUCAGUGAUCACAUUUCAAAGCCUUCCAAGAACCCUGGUCUAAGUGGUGAGGCACAAGUCACGUUCUCCUGAUACCGAGGACAACAGGGCCUGCUCAACUCCUGCUCGUUGUUGUCCAAUCCCGAGACCCCAGUCCCAGGAGGCCAAACCAAGGAGUCUGCCUUGCACCAUGGAACCCUUGGGUAUUCAUUAAGAACACCAGAGCUAAAUCACAGCAUGGGCCCUUUGCAGAGUCCAACAGACUGCAGAAAGGAAACAGAUCAUAUGACAUACAGCUGUAAGGAAGGAAGCCUCUCAAGACCGCCUCCAGAAGAAAGCUAAACAUUUAAAGCAUCGAUUUAAAGAAUAGUCAAAAUCCUAUCUAGAUUGUCAUGGACACAAAACAGAUUAAAACCGUUUUGAACUC